CAGCUGAACUGACUUCCUGGUUAGAGUGGGUGAAGAUCCUCCACGGGGUCCAGACCUUUGCGGUAACCAUUAGGAAAACAGCUGGUCCUUGGCUCUCCUUCCACCCCUCUGGUACUUGCCCCAUCUAGCAAGUGCUGAGUCAUCUACACCGCCAAACACAAACCCGGACAGCGUUUUCUCAAGCUUAUGGAAGCAAUGGGAGCUUCGACAGUCCUGGGCGAUUGUGAUUGUGAGCUUGAAACGCCGCUCCGCCCCAAAGAUGUGAUUUGCACAGCAAGAGGCCCCACAGUAAACAGAGGGAGCAGACGCACUGCUCAAGGGCUCCUCAUUCAUCU
ensembl:lncRNA